rnacentral:rRNA from 1 species
GACGAACGCUGGCGGCGUGCCUAAUACAUGCCAGUUGAGCGAUGAAGAUUGGUGCUUGCACCAAUUUGAAGAGCAGCGAACGGGUGAGUAACGCGUGGGGAAUCUGCCUUUGAGCGGGGGACAACAUUUGGAAACGAAUGCUAAUACCGCAUAACAACUUUAAACAUAAGUUUUAAGUUUGAAAGAUGCAAUUGCAUCACUCAAAGAUGAUCCCGCGUUGUAUUAGCUAGUUGGUGAGGUAAAGGCUCACCAAGGCGAUGAUACAUAGCCGACCUGAGAGGGUGAUCGGCCACAUUGGGACUGAGACACGGCCCAAACUCCUACGGGAGGCAGCAGUAGGGAAUCUUCAGCAAUGGACGAAAGUCUGACCGAGCAACGCCGCGUGAGUGAAGAAGGUUUUCGGAUCGUAAAACUCUGUUGGUAGAGAAGAACGUUGGUGAGAGUGGAAAGCUCAUCAAGUGACGGUAACUACCCAGAAAGGGACGGCUAACUACGUG